rnacentral:snoRNA from 1 species
GAGUGAAAUGAUGCUUUACCAUCUUUCGGGACUUACUCAUUAAUGGGGAUAACUUUAUACAUCACUGAUCACUC